AUCAAGUUAGGCCCUAUGGUUUCGCACUUUCUUACUUUAGUACCCUGUGGUUUAAAGUGCAUCAAGUUAGUACCCUAUGAUUUCAUUUUUCUCUUUUCAUUAUCCAUUUCACUAAUUUCUUUUCAUUAAAUCAGUGACAAAGUUAAAAUUAAAGGGUACUAAAGUAAAUAUUCGAUAAACCUAGGUAGGGUAUCUAAAAUUUUUUGUAUAUAAUUUAGCGAAAUAUUAACAAAGGAAAAAAAAUCAGUGAAAAAAUUAAAACUAAAGAGUACUAAAGUGAGUAUUCGAUAAACCUAGAUAGGGUAUCUGAAGUUUUUUGUAUAUAAUUUAACGAAAUAUUAACAGAGGGGCCGACGAAAAAAAAAAAAUGAAACCACAGGGUACUAAAUUGAUGCACUUUAAAUCACAGAAUACUAAAGUAAGAAAGUGCGAAACCACAGGAUACUAAAUUAAUACACUUUAAACCACAGAGUACUAAAGUGAAAAAAUGCGAAACC
rnacentral:lncRNA from 1 species